rnacentral:rRNA from 1 species
UUUGGAUUGUUGCUGGCCUCUAGGGGCAUGUGCACGCCUUGCCCAUCGUUUUUAAACCACCUGUGCACCUUUUGUAGACUUUGAGGGGGCUGUUUGUAUGGAUUUUUCCAUGCAUUUGAACUCUCAAGUCUAUGCUAUACACAAUACACUCUUUGUAUCAGAAUGCUUUGUUUUAUUGGCCUCAGCGCCUUUAAUCAAAUAUACAACUUUCAGCAACGGAUCUCUUGGCUCUCGCAUCGAUGAAGAACGCAGCGAAAUGCGAUAAGUAAUGUGAAUUGCAGAUCAGUGAAUCAUCGAACCUUUGAACGCACCUUGCGCUCCUUAGUAAUUGAGGAGCAUGCCUGUUUGAGCGUCAUUAAAUUCUCAACCUAACCAGCUUUUGUUAGCUUGGAUAGGCUUGGAUCUUGGGGGUCUUUGCUGGCUUCAAAUCUCCAAGGAAGUCAGCUCCCCUUAAAUGCAUUAGUGGGAACCUUUUGUUGAACCUUCUUGUUCCCUGGUGUGAUAAACAUCUUUUUGUUGUCUACACCGUGGACGGUUUAUAAAGGGCUUCUGCUUCUAACCAAACCCACACUUAUAAAACUUUGACCUCAAAUCAGG